UACAAACUUGGCUGGAUCCAUGGGCCUCUCCAUGUGUACUCUUUGAUUGGUGGUUUAGUCCCUGGUAGCUGUAGGAGUUCUGGUUGGUUGAUGAUGUUGUUCUUCCUGUGGGGCUGCAAACCCCAUCAGCUCUUUCAGUACUUUCUCUAACUCCUCCAUUGGGGUCCCCAUGCUCAGUCUGAUGGUUAGCUGCAAGCAUCCUCAUCUGUGUCAAUAAGGCUCUGGCAGAGACUUAAAGGAGACAUCCACAUCAGACUCCUGUCAGCAAGUACAUCUUGGCAUCAGCAUAGUGACUGGGUUUGAUGGCUGCAUAUUGGAUGGAUCACCAGGUGGGACAGUCUCUGGAUGGCCUGUCCUUCAGUCUCUGCUCCACUCGUUGUCCCUGAAUUUCCUCCUGUGAGUAUUUUGUUUCCCCUUCUAAGAGGGACUGAAGCAUCCUUAUUUUGGUCUUCCUUCUUCUUGAGCUUCAGGUGGUCUGUAAAUUGUAUCUUGGGUAUUCCAAGCUUUUGGGCUAAUAUGCAUUUAUCAGUGAGUGCAUACCAUGUAUGUUCUUUUGUAAUUGAAUUACCUCACUCAAGAUGAUAUUUUCUAGUUCCAUCCAUUUGCCUAAGAAUUUCAAGAAGUCGUUGUUUUUAAUAGCUGAGUAGUGUAUAUAAUAGCCAGAAGCUGGAAAAAAAACACAGAGGAAUGGAUACAGAAAAUGUAGUACAUGUCUACAAUGGAGUGUUACUUUCUUUAUUGCAGAGUAUUUACUGUAUGUCAAAGUUUUCUGUUGUGAAUUAACACAAAGAAUUGGUCUUCUGUGAAUGUUUUUUAUAAUAGCUGAAUUAUGAUUUAAUGGGGUGCUUUUAAAACUUUUUUUGUGAACAAAAUAAUAAAAAUUCUAAAACUUAUGGUGUUUCCAAAACAUUGUGAGGUAAAAAGGUAAUUAAAGAAGAAAAACCAAAGGAAGAUAAAAUGGAGGAAAAGCCGGUUGGAUUAUGAGAUUUGGCUGGUCUCCUAGGAGAUAGGAAAUGAGAAACUUCAAAGGGGAGAAGCUGUCAUAUUACUAUUUAAUUCUAUGUUUCCAUACAGGAUGCUUAAUAUGCUAAUUAUGCAUUCAAGCUUGUCCUCAAAUACUGUUCCUUCCUGUUUUCUUCUGUUGACAGUUGAUUGGUUCUCAUCAAAAUAAAAAGACCUUGUUUAUUGAGGAUUUCUGACAUUGUCAUUACAUGCUUGCAGAUAUUUUUCACAGGAAAGUACUCAACAUGCUACUCAAAAUGAAAUGUGGAUACCCACUCAGCCACCAAACUUUUGACCUACAGUCUGUUCUGCCUGCAAAAUAUGCUAGGACAGUGGUUCCAGAGAACAUGUAGCCUGGAAGGCAAAGGAUGGAAUUCAUUUGUGAAUGAUGAACACUGAAUGGAAACACUUGGAGGACAAGGUGGUGGCUCAUGAAGCGCAGGAGGAGAUAGGGUUCUCUAGCAGGCGUACAGAAAUAAAGAAAUCAAACCCUGUCUGGAGAAGUUGCUUGUAUUGUGUACAUUUUACCAGGGGCUGAUGAUAAAGAAACUCUCGUGCCUCAGACACUUACCAAGAGGGCCAGCCUUAUCAAGAAACCCCUUCGCAGCAUCUGUUGUGGGCUGUACAGCAGACUGGUCAGCAAUCUCAGUGAGUGGAACCUGCAGACCAUCGCCUGGAUGCAUUGUAUGUGCGAGUGAGAAGAGGUCACCUGAGAAUGCAGAGGAAGAUAAGUCUUGACUCAGCAAAACACCAUGUGAGUCUGCAACAUCUGACAUAUCCAGGCACUUCCACUUCAACAGAGAAUUAUGUUGAUGGAUUUCCAUAUAUUGAACCAUCCCUGCAUCCCUGGAAUGAAGCCUACUUGAUCAUGAUGGAAGAUAAGUUCAAUGAGUUCUUGGAAUUGCAACAGGUGAUCGAUUCCAGAUGGCAUGUGUGAAGUGCUCUGAAAUGCUGGAUGUUUUCAUGCUAGAAACUUAUUUGCAUGAAUUAGUUAAAAGGGUUAAAUCUUGGGAGUUGCUGCAUGCUAGCAAGAACACUACCAUGCCGUGCCCGGCCUAUAACAUCUCUCCAUCUACUCUCUGAAAGACAGCCUCAUCUUUAGGUAUCAGCAAUUUGGUUUCCAUUUUCGUUUCUUCUCAGGUACUUCUGGCCUUUUCCAGUGAUAUCAUCAACUGGAAAUAAAUUCAUCUUCUUAAUUAAAAAAAAAUCCAGAACAUUUUUUCCAAAUUGGAUAUUGGCUAAUAUAGGAACAUAAAACUAAGAAGCAAACAUGCUUGCUGCUAAGUAAGAAAAGGAGUAAACUGAAGAAGGACUCAAGGAUCUAUUUUACCUUUAGCUUUUUGAGAAUUCAGGUGGACCAUUCUUGUAACACUGACUCUCACAAUCAUGUGUGAGUCACCCACUUUGUCACAUGCUUUGUCACCCACUCUACCAGCCAUUAAAGAAUAGAUGAGCUACCUC